GGACGAACGCUGGCGGCGUGCUUAACACAUGCAAGUCGAGCGGUAAGGCCCUUUCGGGGGUACACGAGCGGCGAACGGGUGAGUAACACGUGGGUGACCUGCCCUCAGCUCUGGGAUAAGCCUGGGAAACCGGGUCUAAUACCGGAUAUGACUCCAUGACGCAUGUUGUGGGGUGGAAAGCCUUGUGCGGCUGAGGAUGGGCCCGCGGCCUAUCAGCUUGUUGGUGGGGUGAUGGCCUACCAAGGCGACGACGGGUAGCCGGCCUGAGAGGGCGACGGCCACACUGGGACUGAGACACGGCCCAGACUCCUACGGGAGGCAGCAGUGGGGAAUCUUGCGCAAUGGGCGAAAGCCUGGCGCAGCGACGCCGCGUG
rnacentral:rRNA from 1 species